GCCGAAAUAGCUCCGGAUUGGGAGAGCGUUAGACUGAAAGAUCUAAAGGUCCCUGGUUCAAUCCGGGUUUCAGCA
rnacentral:tRNA from 1 species